UGGAGAUAAAGCAGGAAGCCAGCGCAGGAGGCCCCGUGGAGCAGUGGUCACAAGCAUGGGUGCUGGGCCAGACAGGCUCAGAAGGGCCCCCUCCUGCACGUGGAAUAGUUAUCAUGAGCUGGAGGAGGACCCAAGUUUCCUGGGGAAAGCCGCUAAAUCAUGGAGGUUUCUGAUGCCAAGAAAAAUAGGCUUGGCCUAGCUCUGAGGCCGUGAACCUCAGAUGCCACCUCAAGAGGCUGCCAUCACCGUGGGCAGUGCCAUCUGGCUUCAUUUUGCCAAAACAAAGGCAAGGCCCUUCAGCAAUUUCUGUGGAUUUGUUUUGCAAAAUUAAAUUGUCUGCUUUUAA